CAUGCAAGUCGAACGAGAAACCCGAGCUUGCUCGGGUGGACAGUGGCAGACGGCUUAGUAACGCGUGGGUAUCUACCUAGAGGUUUGGAACAACUAUUGGAAACGAUAGCUAAUACCAAAUAUGCCCUUCGGGGGAAAGAUUUAUCGCCUUUAGAUGAGCCCGCGUCGGAUUAGCUUGUUGGUAGGGUAAAGGCCUACCAAGGCUACGAUCCGUAGCUGGUCUGAGAGGAUGAUCAGCAAGAUUGGGACUGAGACACGGCCCAGACUCCUACGGGAGGCAGCAGUGGGGAAUAUUGCGCAAUGGGGGAAACCCUGACGCAGCGAUGCCGCGUGAGUGAAGAAGGCCCUAGGGUUGUAAAACUCUUUCACCGGUGAAGAUAAUGACGGUAACCGGAGAAGAAGCCCCGGCUAACUCCGUGCCAGCAGCCGCGGUAAUACGGAGGGGGCUAACGUUGUUCGGAAUUACUGGGCGUAAAGCGCGCGUAGGCGGGUUAGACAGUUGAGGGUGAAAUCCCGGAGCUUAACUCCGGAACUGCCUUCAAUACUACUAAUCUUGAGUUCGGAAGAGGUGAGUGGAAUCCCUAGUGUAGAGGUGAAAUUCGUAGAUAUUAGGAAGAA
rnacentral:rRNA from 1 species